UAGUGACAAGAAAUAACAAUACAGGGCCUAACGGUCUUGUAAUUGGAAUGAGUGAAGUAUAAACCCCUUUACGAGUAUCAAUUGGAGGGCAAGUCUGGUGCCAGCAGCCGCGGUAAUUCCAGCUCCAAUAGCGUAUAUUAAAGUUGUUGCAGUUAAAAAGCUCGUAGUUGGAUUUCUGUUGUAUAAUUUUAUAAUAUUACCAAGGUAAUUAUUAUAUUAUCAACAUCCUUCCUAUUAUAUUCUAAAUAUAUAGGAAAUUUUACUUUGAGAAAAUUAGAGUGCUUAAAGCAGGCAAC
rnacentral:rRNA from 1 species